rnacentral:rRNA from 1 species
GACGAACGCCGGCGGCGUGCUUAACACAUGCAAGUCGAACGGACGGAUUGGAGCUUGCUCCAUGAAGUUAGUGGCGGACGGGUGAGUAACGCGUGGGUAACCUGCCCUAUGCAGGGGGAUAACGUUUGGAAACGAACGCUAAUACCGCAUAAUCUAGUUGGUUCGCAUGAACUGAUUAGCAAAGAUUUUAUCGGCAUAGGAUGGACCUGCGUUAGAUUAGCUAGUUGGUGAGAUAACAGCCCACCAAGGCAACGAUCUAUAGCCGGCCUGAGAGAGUGAACGGCCACACUGGGACUGAGACACGGCCCAGACUCCUACGGGAGGCAGCAGUGGGGAAUAUUGCACAAUGGGCGCAAGCCUGAUGCAGCGACGCCGCGUGAAGGAUGAAGGUCUUCGGAUCGUAAACUUCUAUCAGCAGGGAAGAAACCAUGACGGUACCUGACUAAGAAGCCCCGGCUAACUACGUGCCAGCAGCCGCCGUAAAAC